rnacentral:tRNA from 1 species
AUGAUUGAAUAGCUUAAGUGGUUAAAGCCCGGGGCUUGCCCCCGUUCGCGGGUUCGAAUCCCGCUUCACAUG